rnacentral:rRNA from 1 species
AUUGAACGCUGGCGGCAGGCUGAACACAUGCAAGUCGAACGAGUGGCGGACGGGUGAGUAAUGCUUGGGAAUCUAGCUCAUGGAGGGGGAUAACUACGGGAAACUGUAGCUAAAACCGCGUACCAUAGGAGGAGCCCAAGUGGGAUUAGGUAGUGGGUGAGGUAAAGGCUCACCAAGCCGACGAUCUCUAGCUGGUCUGAGAGGAUGACCAGCGACACUGGGACUGAGCCACGGCCCUGACUCCUACGAGAGGCAGGAGUGGGGAAGAUUGCGCAAUGGGGGCAACCUGACACAGCCCUGCCGCGUGAAUGAAGAAGGCCUUCGGGUUGUAAAGUUCUUUCGUUAGCGAGGCGUUAACUACAGAAGAAGCACCGGCUAACUCCGUGCCAGCAGCCGCGGUAAUAC